rnacentral:rRNA from 1 species
AACGCUAGCUACAGGCUUAACACAUGCAAGUCGAGGGGCAGCAUUGGAGUAGCAAUACUUCAGAUGGCGACCGGCGCACGGGUGAGUAACACGUAUCCAACCUGCCGCUUACUCGGGGAUAGCCUUUCGAAAGAAAGAUUAAUACCCGAUGGUAUAAAGAGUUCGCAUGUUCUCUUUAUUAAAGAAUUUCGGUAAGCGAUGGGGAUGCGUUCCAUUAGAUAGUUGGCGGGGUAACGGCCCACCAAGUCUGCGAUGGAUAGGGGUUCUGAGAGGAAGGUCCCCCACAUUGGAACUGAGACACGGUCCAAACUCCUACGGGAGGCAGCAGUGAGGAAUAUUGGUCAAUGGACGAGAGUCUGAACCAGCCAAGUAGCGUGAAGGAUGACUGCCCUAUGGGUUGUAAACUUCUUUUAUAAGGGAAUAAAGUGAGGGACGUGUCCCUUUUUGUAUGUACCGUAUGAAUAAGGAUCGGCUAACUCCGUGCCAGCAGCCGCGGUAAUACGGAGGAUCCGAGCGUUAUCCGGAUUUAUUGGGUUUAAAGGGAGCGUAGGCGGGUUGUUAAGUCAGUUGUGAAAGUUUGCGGCUCAACCGUAAAAUUGCAGUUGAUACUGGCGACCUUGAGUGCAACAGAGGUAGGCGGAAUUCGUGGUGUAGCGGUGAAAUGCUUAGAUAUCACGAAGAACUCCGAUUG